GGGCGUUUAGCGCAGUGGUAGCGCGUAUGCUUUGCAAGACCAUCAAUCCAUCCGUCGAGCAUCCACUUGUAUAAGGUCCAGGGUUCAAUCCCCUGAACGUCCA